rnacentral:tRNA from 1 species
GCUUUUCUGGUGGAAUUGGUAGACACGCUGGUUUUAGGAACCAGUACUAUUGUGUGAGGGUUCGAGUCCCUCGAAAAGCA